rnacentral:rRNA from 1 species
GAUGAACGCUGGCGGCGUGCCUAAUACAUGCAAGUCGAGCGAACAGACGAGGAGCUUGCUCCUCUGACGUUAGCGGCGGACGGGUGAGUAACACGUGGAUAACCCACCUAUAAGACUGGGAUAACUUCGGGAAACCGGCGCUAAUACUGGAUAAUAUAUUGAACCGCAUGGUUCAAUAGUGAAAGACGGUUUUGCUGUCACAUAUAGAUGGAUCCGCGCCGCAUUAGCUAGUUGGUAAGGUAACGGCUUACCAAGGCAACGAUGCGUAGCCGACCUGAGAGGGUGAUCGGGCACACUGGAACUGGGACACGGUCCAGACUCCUACGGGAGGCAGCAGUAGGGAAUCGUCCGCAAUGGGCGAAAGCCUGACGGAGCAACGCCGCGUGAGGGAUGAAGGUCUUCGGAUCGUAAAACUCUGUUAUUAGGGAAGAACAAAUGUGUAAGUAACUAUGCACGUCUUGACGGUACCUAAUCAGAAAGCCACGGCUAACUACGUG